AUGAACGCUGGCGGCGUGCUUAACACAUGCAAGUCGAACGAAGCAUUUAAGACAGAUUACUUCGGUUCGAAGUCUUUUAUGACUGAGCGGCGGACGGGUGAGUAACGCGUGGGUAACCUGCCUCAUACAGGGGGAUAGCAGCUGGAAACGGCUGGUAAUACCGCAUAAGCGCACAGUACCACAUGGUACAGUGUGAAAAACUCCGGUGGUAUGAGAUGGACCCGCGUCUGAUUAGCUUGUUGGCGGGGUAACGGCCCACCAAGGCGACGAUCAGUAGCCGACCUGAGAGGGUGACCGGCCACAUUGGGACUGAGACACGGCCCAGACUCCUACGGGAGGCAGCAGUGGGGAAUAUUGCACAAUGGAGGAAACUCUGAUGCAGCGACGCCGCGUGAGUGAAGAAGUAGUUCGCUAUGUAAAGCUCUACCAGCAGGGAAGAUAGUGACGGUACCUGACUAAGAAGCUCCGGCUAAAUACGUG
rnacentral:rRNA from 1 species